AACGAACGCUGGCGGCAUGCCUAACACAUGCAAGUCGAACGAGACCUUCGGGUCUAGUGGCGCACGGGUGCGUAACGCGUGGGAACCUGCCCUUAGGUUCGGAAUAACUCCCCGAAAGGGGUGCUAAUACCGGAUAAUGUCUUCGGACCAAAGAUUUAUCGCCUUUGGAUGGGCACGCGUUGGAUUAGCUAGUUGGUAGGGUAAAAGCCUACCAAGGCGACGAUCCAUAGCUGGUCUGAGAGGAAGAUCAGCCACACUGGGACUGAGACACGGCCCAGACUCCUACGGGAGGCAGCAGUGGGGAAUAUUGGACAAUGGGCGAAAGCCUGAUCCAGCAAUGCCGCGUGAGUGAUGAAGGCCUUAGGGUUGUAAAGCUCUUUUACCCGGGAUGAUAAUGACAGUACCGGGAGAAUAAGCUCCGGCUAACUCCGUG
rnacentral:rRNA from 1 species